AGUGAACGCUGGCGGUAGGCCUAACACAUGCAAGUCGAACGGCAGCACAGUAAGAGCUUGCUCUUACGGGUGGCGAGUGGCGGACGGGUGAGGAAUACAUCGGAAUCUACUUUUUCGUGGGGGAUAACGUAGGGAAGCUUACGCUAAUACCGCAUACGACCUACGGGUGAAAGCAGGGGAUCUUCGGACCUUGCGCGAUUGAAUGAGCCGAUGUCGGAUUUGCUAGUUGGCGGGGUAAAGGCCCACCAAGGCGACGAUCCGUAGCUGGUCUGAGAGGAUGAUCAGCCACACUGGAACUGAGACACGGUCCAGACUCCUACGGGAGGCAGCAGUGGGGAAUAUUGGACAAUGGGCGCAAGCCUGAUCCAGCCAUACCGCGUGGGUGAAGAAGGCCUUCGGGUUGUAAAGCCCUUUUGUUGGGAAAGAAAAGCAGCAGGUUAAUACCCCGCUGUUCUGACGGUACCCAAAGAAUAAGCACCGGCUAACUUCGUG
rnacentral:rRNA from 1 species